UACGGAGGAUCCAAGCGUUAUCCGGAAUUACUGGGCGUAAAGAGUUGCGUAGGUGGCAAAGGGUGUCUGUAGUGAAAGCGUCCCGCUCAACGGGAUAAACAUUAUAGAAACUGCUUGGCUAGAGGACGAGAGAGGUACCUGGAAUUCCCAGUGUAGGAGUGAAAUCCGUAGAUAUUGGGAGGAACACCGAUGGCGUAGGCAGGGUACUGGCUCGUUCCUGACACUAAGGCACGAAAGCGUGGGGAGCAAACGGG
rnacentral:rRNA from 1 species